rnacentral:rRNA from 1 species
UACGGAGGGUGCAAGCGUUAUUCGGAUUCACUGGGUUUAAAGGGUGUGUAGGCGGGUAUUUAAGUCAGUGGUGAAAUCUCCAGGCUCAACCUGGAAACUGCCAUUGAUACUAUUUACCUUGAAUUCUGUUGAGGUGGGCGGAAUACAUCAUGUAGCGGUGAAAUGCUUAGAUAUGAUGUAGAACACCAAUUGCGAAGGCAGCUCACUAAACAGACAUUGACGCUGAGGCACGAAAGCGUGGGGGAGUCAAAACAGGA